UGGGGCUUGUAGAUCCAUGGUAGAUGAUACUAAAGAUAUAACAAACUAACAAAUACUAGUUUAAUUUCAAGAUGCUACUUAGAGAUUGGUGGUCAGAUGCCAACAUCUCAUGUGAGCUCAGUUACAGAAGACAGAAUUUAUAAACAGGGAAAGACACCAAUAAGUAUCAGAGCCAGAUUCAGCCCUGAUGUCCAGGUGGGUAAACUCCACUCCUCUGAGGGGCAGGCAGAAUGCAGAGGGUGAGAUUGAUUCCUCCAAAUGACAGCAUCAUGCUUGUGGCAGAAAAUAAGAAUCAGUGCAGGGGCUUUAGCACAGGAAUCAUCCAUCCAACUUGAAAGCAUUGGACCAGUGGGACUCAGAUGCUGUUGUGACAAGGAGAAGGAAGAAGCACAGUACAAGCAGGGGAGCACCUGGUAUAAAGAAGGAGUGAAGGGAAGAGAAGAGACAAAGAUUUUCUAGGAAAAGAAAGAACAGAGCUAAUGGAAGGAAGAGAGAGCAGAGAGAGGUAGGUUUCAUUUUCUUUGGUGAGGAAAGUGAAAGCAAUGCUAUCUGGGAAGAGGAAAAUGACUGGAAGAGAAAGCAUGUGAAGAGGCAUACCUCAGGACUCGUAGUAGCUUUAUUUGUUUCUCACUGAAAUAAACAGUGGUUGGGAUUUUUGAUUGAUAGGAAGGGCAUUCUUGCUAUCCUCUCGUAACUCCCCAAAAGCUCAAGAGAUUUUGCAGAAUGUUCUGGCAUGGAGUAACUCCAUAAAAAACACUCAUUGCCCCAAAUGGAGUAUUUUGGAAAUAUGCAUGUGUGCUGUGCGUGGGGAACCACGGGGCUGGGAUGGAAGCUGCUCUGUAAUCUUAGCUCUCGUGGCAAAAGCUGCUCCCACAGGGCCGUGUGAUGUGGGCGCAUGCAAGCUGAGUUACAAGCCUCCAUGGAUGCAGCUUAUUGUUACAAAAAAUCUCGUGGCAAAAGUUGGUUAACUCUUCCUGUAACGUUUGACAGUGGCUUUGCAGGAUCUUUCAAGAGUUUUCAGCCCACCUACUUUACAAAAUAAAGCUAAGUAGUCAGCAGAGCGCAAUAGAAAUCGACCAUACCCUAAGGUGCAUUAAGUAAGUCCAGCACUGCCAGAUGGGUGAGGACAGGGACUGUCCCACUCUGCUCUGUGCUGGUGUGGCCUCACCUCAAGCACUGAGUGCAGUUUUGGGUGCCACAGCAUAAGAAGGGUGUAAAACUAUUAAUAAAUCCAAAGGAAUGCUACAAAGAUGAGAAAGGGUCUGGAAGACAAGAUGUUUGAGGAGCUGCUGAGGGCCCUGAGCAGAGCAGGCCGAGGGGAGGCCUCAAGGCCCUGCAGCUCCUCACAGGGAGCAAAGGGGCAGCGCUCAGCCCUGCUCUCUGUGCCCGAGGGAACGGCGUGGAGCUACGUCAGAAGAGGGUCGGGUGGUGGUUAGAGAAAGGCUCUGCAGCAGAGGGCGAUGGGAAUGAAACGCACUCCGCAGGGCCGUGGGCGAAGGUCCGAGCUGCUGGAGCUCAGGAAGCGUUUGGGUUUGGGUGGUGCUGUGUGGAGCCAGGGGUUGGACUCGAUGAUCCUUGUGGGCCCCUUCUAACUCGGGAUAUUCCAUGGUUCGAUGAUUCUACGACAAGCACUGAGCAGCUCGCAGCGCUGCAGACCGCCCUGUGCCUGCGGGACGCGCCGCCAGGGGACACUCCCGAGCCCCGCAGCGCUCAGCCGAGGGUCUCGCUGCCGACAGCAGCCCGAGCUCUGGGUCGCGCAGCAGCAGCGCUGUGAGCAGCCCGCAUAGCACCAGCUACCCUUUGCUUCUCACGAGAAAAACUAGAAAGCAGGAUUUGCUGACAUUGGGUACACACCCUUGGACUAAGCUGCCUAUAAAGCUGUUUGUUUAAGCGUGAUAGUAGCACGGGCACUUUUUAUUAAGGGGAGAAAUGUUUCGGCUGGUUGAAUGGUUAGGGCAAUAACCUUGUUUUUCUCUGCUUUAGAGUUUUGCUAUAUUUACACAAGUGUAGUGCCUUGAAAAACAAAACAAAAGAAAACCACACACCUUUGUUUUAAGCCUGCCUGGCAACGGAAGGGUGUAGAAAGCAUGGAUAAACAGAGAGCAAAAAUGUUUAUGCAGUGCUGCUUGCUAAGUGUAGCUGAGUAUAUAAUUACCUAAAUGUGAAAUGACGUUCAUAGAUGACAACAUGGUACCUGAAAUUGACCGUAUUCUGUUACAGAAGGAUGCAUCUUCUUCCUUUCGGGACUAAGACAGGUAUGGAACUGCAGGAUGCGUUAGUUAGCAAUCAGUCUGAAUGGGCUGGCAUGGCUUCCAGCGACUCAGAGCAACUCCACGGAGCUGAACGAUGAGCCUACGCAUUUUAUGAGUUUAAACAGUAAGCAGAGACUGAGCCCUAAUUCUCUAGACUUGUGGUGUGACCAGAAACCACCUCCUUUUCUGCUUCUGAUUUCCCUCAGCAGUAAGGAAAACCGAGCUACAAGAACAAUAUUUCACCAACCAUUUCUUCUAAAAGUAUUCUAAUAAAAACAUCCUGAAACUAGCAUUCAACUACUUCCUUUUUUUAAGUUUUUCUUUCUUUCUGAUUUUAAGAUGGUGGUUUUAAAGCAGUAGUUUUAAUCUAAAUUACAGAGCAACAAGAAGAAUGAAUGUUACUAUUCAAAAUAAAAAAAAGUAUACUUAAAUUGGCAUCUAACUUAUGAUUAAAUUACCAGCCCAAUUAGUUACUGAAUUUAUAGCAGUUCUUCCCUUAAUUUAUCAUUAAAUGACAGGUAAAAUGUCCAUAAAGCAAAUUCUGGGCUUUUAAAAUUCUAAAUAUAAACAACAAAAAACCAAAAAAGUACCUGGACAGCUUUUCAGUGCCUCUGAGAUACUGGGGAAUAGAGCAGAUAGCAGUUUAGGUUUAAUUUAUUUUGUCUGCCUCCAUCUGUGCACACUGUGCUGCUGGCUUGUUGCAAUGCUUGAUUUGUUAUUUUAUACCUCUAUGUAUGAAGGUCACUUACUCUACUUAUGUUUUCACUUACAGGACUUCAUUCGUUUCGCAAACCACUACUGCAAGGAUGAUAGAAAAGUCUGUUGAAAGAUAUAAAAUCCCUAUGAUACAAAGGUGGCAGUGAUUAUUCUCACACUGCGACUAUUGGGAGGAAAUUUCCCUGGGUUGAUUUUGGACACUGUGCUCCUGGAAUGACAUCUUUGGUAGAUUAGCAGAAAUACAGGUUGCAACUUACCAAAAGACUUUUGUUAACAGGGUGCAAAUAUAAUUAUAUUUCUUUUUCCAUCACCUUUGAGAACUCAAGCAUUCCUACACACUUUCAAGCCCAGCAAAGUACUUUAGAGCUGGUUAAUAUCCUGAAGAUCAGGCUAUAACACUGUCUAAUAUUUUGGUUUGCUGGUGGCUUUCUUCUGUAUUGUUUCACACUUGCUGUCAGCACAGGUUUAUGAAUAAGGAAAGCCACACUGGUUUACACUUGUGGAGGUCUGAUAAAAGUGCUUGGCAUGGAUUUUUCUUCAGUUAUGCCCCAACAUACCCUGUCUGCAUAGCUCUUCUAAUGUGACCUGAACUGUGGUCAGUGAGGAAGGAGCAGCUUUUCACUAUUUGUAUAGUGUUUGUAUCAAGUAGUUACCUGGACAGUGGGUAAGGCCCUUUUCUAACAUCAGAGACAGGCACUGCAGAUGUCAGUGAGGCUGAAGAUGGAGAACCCUGGGCUUGCUGUGUUACUGAAUUGUUCUUUUCCAUUUGGACAGCUGUGACCUGAUUAGCUAUCAGAUAUCCUUUCUGCAUGGCAAAAUUUGCAACCGUGUAUCUACAAAAAAACCAUUGCAACUAUUAGAUCUUACUUUUCCUACCUACUUCCCUACAGGUUUGUGUUAAAAAACGGUCAUCCUCUUAGAACUGCCUGUACCUUACCUUGAGUACUCAUAGGUAGAGAAUAGCACGUGCUCCUCGUGUCCCUUAGUCACGUUAGCCAACUCACACAUGAAAGUGAAGUAGAGCUGAAUGUGAUGCCCAGGGCUUUGCCUUUCCAGUUGUUCUCUUGAGUACUCAGUGCUCCUCUGAUGCCUUUUUUAAAAAAGGUUUGAAAAUAAGUGCAAGAUUAAACAGGACUUCAAUAGCAAGUAUCUAUUUGACACUAGGAAUUAUUUCUGCC
ensembl:lncRNA